rnacentral:rRNA from 1 species
UACGAGGGGUCUAAGCGUUGUUCGGAAUCACUGGGCGUAAAGCGGGUGUAGGUGGCUAGACAAGUCAGGUGUGAAAUCCCCGGGCUCAACCCGGGAAGUGCAUCUGAUACUAUUUAGCUUGAGUACGGGAGAGGGAAACAGAAUUCCUGGUGUAGUGGUGAAAUACGUAGAUAUCAGGAGGAACACCGGUGGCGAAGGCGGUUUCCUGGCCCAGUACUGACACUCAGACCCGAAAGCGUGGGUAGCAAACAGG